GUGGAUUAGAUACCCUAGUAGUCCACGCCGUAAACUAUGGGUGCUAGCUGUCAGCGGGCUUGCUCGUUGGUGGCGCAGCUAACGCAUUAAGCACCCCGCCUGGGGAGUACGGUCGCAAGAUUAAAACUUAAAGGAAUUGACGGGGGCCCGCACAAGCGGUGGAGCAUGUGGUUUAAUUCGAAGCAACGCGCAGAACCUUACCAACCCUUGACAUCCCGAUCGCGGGCACCAGAGAUGGAGUCCUUCAGUUCGGCUGGAUCGGAGACAGGUGCUGCACGGUCGUCGUCAACU
rnacentral:rRNA from 1 species